AACGAACGCUGGCGGCAGGCUUAACACAUGCAAGUCGAGCGCCCCGCAAGGGGAGCGGCAGACGGGUGAGUAACGCGUGGGAAUCUACCCAUCUCUACGGAAUAACGCAUGGAAACGUGUGCUGAUACCGUAUACGUCCUUCGGGAGAAAGAUUUAUCGGAGAUGGAUGAGCCCGCGUUGGAUUAGCUAGUUGGUGGGGUAAAGGCCUACCAAGGCGACGAUCCAUAGCUGGUCUGAGAGGAUGAUCAGCCACACUGGGACUGAGACACGGCCCAGACUCCUACGGGAGGCAGCAGUGGGGAAUAUUGGACAAUGGGCGCAAGCCUGAUCCAGCCAUGCCGCGUGAGUGAUGAAGGCCCUAGGGUUGUAAAGCUCUUUCACCGGUGAAAAUAAUGACGGUAACCGGAGAAGAAGCCCCGGCUAACUUCGUGCCAGCAGCCGCCGUAAAAC
rnacentral:rRNA from 1 species